rnacentral:rRNA from 1 species
UACGUAGGGGGCUAGCGUUGUCCGGAAUCAUUGGGCGUAAAGAGCGUGUAGGCGGCCCGGUAAGUCCGCUGUAAAAGUCAAAGGCUCAACCUUUGAAUGUCAGUGGAUACUGCCGGGCUAGAGUCCGGAAGAGGAGAGUGGAAUUCCUGGUGUAGCGGUGAAAUGCGCAGAUAUCAGGAAGAACACCCGUGGCUAAGGCGGCUCUCUAGUACGGUACUGACGCUCAGACGCGAAAGCGUGGGGAGCGAACAGG